rnacentral:rRNA from 1 species
GUGCCAGCCGCCGCGGUAAUACGUAGGUGGCAAGCGUUGUCCGGAUUUACUGGGCGUAAAGAGCGCGCAGGCGGCUGGGUCAGUCCGAUGUGAAAGCUUCCGGCUUAACUGGAAAAUUGCAUCGGAAACUGCUCAGCUUGAAGGUGGGAGAGGGUAGCGGAAUUCCCGGUGUAGUGGUGAAAUGCGUAGAUAUCGGGAGGAACACCAGUGGCGAAGGCGGCUACCUGGCCCAUUCUUGACGCUGAGGCGCGAAAGCUAGGGGAGCAAACGGGAUUAGAAACCCUGGUAGUCC